CCUACGGGAGGCAGCAGUGGGGAAUAUUGGACAAUGGGCGAAAGCCUGAUCCAGCAACGCCGCGUGAGGGAUGACGGCCUUCGGGUUGUAAACCUCUUUCAGCGCAGACGAAGCGAAAGUGACGGUAUGCGCAGAAGAAGCACCGGCCAACUACGUGCCAGCAGCCGCGGUAAUACGUAGGGUGCGAGCGUUGUCCGGAAUUAUUGGGCGUAAAGGGCUCGUAGGCGGUUUGUUGCGUCGGGAGUGAAAACUCAGGGCUUAACCCUGAGCCUGCUUCCGAUACGGGCAGACUAGAGGUAUGCAGGGGAGAACGGAAUUCCUGGUGUAGCGGUGAAAUGCGCAGAUAUCAGGAGGAACACCGGUGGCGAAGGCGGUUCUCUGGGCAUUACCUGACGCUGAGGAGCGAAAGUGUGGGGAGCGAACAGGAUUAGAUACCCUGGUAGUCCACACCGUAAACGUUGGGCGCUAGGUGUGGGACUCAUUCCACGAGUUCCGUGCCGCAGCUAACGCAUUAAGCGCCCGCCUGGGGAGUACGGCCGCAAGGCAAAACGUUAAAGGAAAUUAAGACGG
rnacentral:rRNA from 1 species